UAAUACGUAGGUUGCAAGCGUUGUCCGGAUUUACUGGGUGUAAAGGGCGUGUAGGCGGAGAUGCAAGUUGGGAGUGAAAUCCCGGGGCUCAACCCCGGAACUGCUUUCAAAACUGCAUCCCUUGAGUAUCGGAGAGGCAAGCGGAAUUCCUAGUGUAGCGGUGAAAUGCGUAGAUAUUAGGAGGAACACCAGUGGCGAAGGCGGCUUGCUGGACGACAACUGACGCUGAGGCGCGAAAGCGUGGGGAGCAAACAGG
rnacentral:rRNA from 1 species